rnacentral:rRNA from 1 species
GACGAAGGAUGCAAGCGUUAUCCGGAUUCAUUGGGUUAAAGCGCACGUAGGCGGAUCGAUCAGUCAGGGGUGAAAUCCCAGAGCUCAACUCUGGAACUGCCUUUGAUACUGUCGAUCUGGAGUAUGGAAGAGGUGAGUGGAAUUCCGAGUGUAGAGGUGAAAUUCGUAGAUAUUCGGAGGAACACCAGUGGCGAAGGCGGCUCACUGGUCCAUUACUGACGCUGAGGUGCGAAAGCGUGGGGAGCAAACAGG